UACGUAGGGGGCGAGCGUUGUCCGGAUUUACUGGGCGUAAAGGGCGCGCAGGCGGCUCAUUUUGUCAGGCGUGAAAGCCCCGGGCUUAACCUGGGAACUGCGUUUGAUACGGAUGGGCUAGAGUUCGGGAGAGGAGAGUGGAAUUCCCAGUGUAGAGGUGAAAUUCGUAGAUAUUGGGAAGAACACCGGUGGCGAAGGCGGCUCUCUGGACCGAGACUGACGCUCAGGCGCGAAAGCGUGGGGAGCAAACAGG
rnacentral:rRNA from 1 species